rnacentral:rRNA from 1 species
UACGUAGGGGGCAAGCGUUGUCCGGAUUUAUUGGGCGUAAAGAGCGUGUAGGCGGCCAUACAGGUCAGCUGUGAAAACUCGAGGCUCAACCUCGAGACGUCGGUUGAAACCGUUUGGCUAGAGUACGGAAGAGGAGAGUGGAAUUCCCGGUGUAGCGGUGAAAUGCGCAGAUAUCGGGAAGAACACCCGUGGCGAAGGCGGCUCUCUGGGACGGUACUGACGCUGAGACGCGAAAGCGUGGGGAGCGAACAGG